rnacentral:rRNA from 1 species
GACCACACGAAGCUGGAAUCGCUAGUAAUCGCGGAUCAGAAUGCCGCGGGUGAAUACGUUCCCGGGUCUUGUACACACCGCCCGUCACACCGUGGGAGUCAGCAACGCCCGAAGUCAGUGACCCAACCUUUAAGGAGGGAGCUGCCGAAGGCGGGGCAGGUGACUGGGGUGAAGUCGUAACAAGGUAAC